UUAUUGAAACUUCGGUCGAUUUAAUUUAAUUCUAGUGGCGGACGGGUGAGUAACGCGUGGGUAACCUGCCUUGUACAGGGGGAUAACAGUCAGAAAUGACUGCUAAUACCGCAUAAGCGCACAGGACCGCAUGGUCCGGUGUUAAAAACUCCGGUGGUUAAAGAUGGGCAUGCGUCGUAUUAGCUAGUUGGUGAGGUAACGGCUCACCAAGGCAACGAUACAUAGGGGGACUGAGAGGUUAACCCCCCACAUUGGUACUGAGACACGGCCCAGACUCCUACGGGAGGCAGCAGUGGGGAAUAUUGCACAAUGGGGGAAACCCUGAUGCAGCGACGCCGCGUGAAGGAAGAAGUAUCUCGGUAUGUAAACUUCUAUCAGCAGGGAAGAUAGUGACGGUACCUGACUAAGAAGCCCCGGCUAACUACGUGCCAGCAGCCGCGGUAAUACGUAGGGGGCAAGCGUUAUCCGGAUUUACUGGGUGUAAAGGGAGCGUAGACGGUGUGGCAAGUCUGAUGUGAAAGGCAUGGGCUCAACCUGUGGACUGCAUUGGAAACUGUCAUACUUGAGUGCCGGAGGGGUAAGCGGAAUUCCUAGUGUAGCGGUGAAAUGCGUAGAUAUUAGGAGGAACACCAGUGGCGAAGGCG
rnacentral:rRNA from 1 species